rnacentral:rRNA from 1 species
GAGGAAUAUUGGUCAAUGGGCGCAGGCCUGAACCAGCCAAGUAGCGUGCAGGACGACGGCCCUAUGGGUUGUAAACUGCUUUUAUGCGGGGAUAAAGUCACUUACGUGUAAGUGUUUGCAGGUACCGCAUGAAUAAGGACCGGCUAAUUCCGUGCCAGCAGCCGCGGUAAUACGGAAGGUCCGGGCGUUAUCCGGAUUUAUUGGGUUUAAAGGGAGCGUAGGCCGCAUGUUAAGCGUGUUGUGAAAUGUAGAUGCCCAACAUCUGAAUUGCAGCGCGAACUGGCAUGCUUGAGUACGCACAACGUUGGCGGAAUUCGUCGUGUAGCGGUGAAAUGCUUAGAUAUGACGAAGAACUCCGAUUGCGAAGGCAGCUGACGGGAGCGCAACUGACGCUGAAGCUCGAAAGUGCGGGUAUCGAAC